UUAUCAGGUGGGAUAAUCCUUACCUGUCCCUCCUUUUGGAGGGCAGAUAGAUCAUGGUGAUUGCAGUUUGCAUGGUAUGUGAUUAACAUCUCUGCGUAAUCAAGACUUGUGACUCAAGAAUUUGAUAGCAACUGAAAUGAU
ensembl:snoRNA U8 U8 small nucleolar RNA